AACAUUUUCUCCACUCUAACUGUAGGUGGGGCUCGUCUGUACUGUGGACUCUCCUCAAAUGCAUCAAAAGGAGGCUCUACAUUAAUUCCUUUCAUCUCUGCACAUCUUGUCAGAUCUCGUACCAGGUUGCGAACAUCACAACGUGCUGAGAAGUUCACAAUAGCCCAUUUCUCUAUGUUACAUGGCUGCACAAGUCUCUUAUUAUUAAAGUUCCAGCGCCCAUUUCGGGGAAAGAAAUCCUCACCAUUGCCUAUUUUUAGCCUUGGAGCCGGCAAAACACGGCCUUCUACUUGGGCAAAACUACUACUGAUAGAAAUGCCACAUGAUCGUAACAUAGGUUCAGAAUCAUAUUUGCUAGAUUUCAGAGCAUUUGAUAAAGUACUCAUCCUCUCAUGUGGCUUUUGUCUUGAUCUCUCGACCAAAGAAGCUCUUUGGAAAGUAUUAAGUGCUUUUGUGUAACGUUGCAAGGAUACCAA
rnacentral:misc_RNA from 1 species